rnacentral:lncRNA from 1 species
GGGCGCCCCCUGACUCCCCCUGUGCCCCCAGAAUGACGUGGGCGGCGAAAAGCUGCUGCAGAAGAAGUGGACCACCUUCCUGAAGGCGCAGCUGCUCUGCACCCAGCCGGGGCAGCUGCCCUUCAACGUCAUCCGCCACGCGGUCCUGCUCCCCGCCGAUUCUCCCACAGCUCCCCACAUCUACGCAGUCUUCACCUCCCAGUGGCAGGUUGGCGGGACCAGGAGCUCUGCGGUUUGUGCCUUCUCUUUCUUGGACAUUGAACGUGUCUUUAAGGGGAAAUACAAAGAGUUGAACAAAGAAACUUCACGCUGGACUACUUAUAGGGGCCCUGAGACCAACCCCCGGCCAGGC